rnacentral:rRNA from 1 species
GACGAACGCUGGCGGCGUGCUUAACACAUGCAAGUCGAACGGAAAGGCCCUGCUUUUGUGGGGUGCUCGAGUGGCGAACGGGUGAGUAACACGUGAGUAACCUGCCCUUGACUUUGGGAUAACUUCAGGAAACUGGGGCUAAUACCGGAUAGGAGCUCCUGCUGCAUGGUGGGGGUUGGAAAGUUUCGGCGGUUGGGGAUGGACUCGCGGCUUAUCAGCUUGUUGGUGGGGUAGUGGCUUACCAAGGCUUUGACGGGUAGCCGGCCUGAGAGGGUGACCGGCCACAUUGGGACUGAGAUACGGCCCAGACUCCUACGGGAGGCAGCAGUGGGGAAUAUUGCACAAUGGGCGGAAGCCUGAUGCAGCAAUGCCGCGUGCGGGAUGACGGCCUUCGGGUUGUAAACCGCUUUCGCCUGUGACGAAGCGUGAGUGACGGUAAUGGGGAAAGAAGCACCGGCGAACUACGG